GUGAAUCAUCGAAUUUUUGAACGCAAAUUGCACUCCCUGGUAUUCCGGGGAGUAUGCCUGUUUGAGGGUCGUUUGAACAUAAAUCGAAGCGUCGCUCUUUUGUGUAAGUGUGAUCGCGUCGGAAUUGAGGCGUCUUCCAAAUGUUAAUGCAGGUCAGAGUGGCUUAAAAUUCAUCCAUCCAGUACGAAUC
rnacentral:misc_RNA from 1 species